rnacentral:rRNA from 1 species
AUUGAACGCUGGCGGCAUGCCUUACACAUGCAAGUCGAACGGCAGCACGGGAGCAAUCCUGGUGGCGAGUGGCGAACGGGUGAGUAAAGUAUCGGAACGUGCCCAGUCGUGGGGGAUAACGUAGCGAAAGUUACGCUAAUACCGCAUACGACCUAUGGAUGAAAGCGGGGGAUCGCAAGACCCCGCGCGAUUGGAGCGGCCGAUAUCAGGUUAGGUAGUUGGUGGGGUAAAGGCCCACCAAGCCGACGAUCCGUAGCUGGUCUGAGAGGACGACCAGCCACACUGGGACUGAGACACGGCCCAGACUCCUACGGGAGGCAGCAGUGGGGAAUUUUGGACAAUGGGCGAAAGCCUGAUCCAGCCAUGCCGCGUGCAGGAUGAAGGCCUUCGGGUUGUAAACUGCUUUUGUACGGAACGAAAAGGUUUGGCCUAAUAAGCUGAGCUCAUGACGGUACCGUAAGAAUAAGCACCGGCUAACUACGUGCCAGCAGCCGCAGUAAAAC